UUAUCUAUUAAUAUAUUAAAAUUUAUAUUUUUUUAUUUGUUAGUAACAUCCUUACGUACAAAAUCAAAUCUAAGAAUUGUGUAAAUGUUGAUUUUUAAUAACAUGAAUCAUUUCCCGUAUUCUGAUAAAUGAAAUUUGAAAACGAAGUGAUCUGACAUCCUAAGUUACAUUGAUUGCGGGAUCAUGCCAUGUUCGAAAUUAACAUUUAUAUUUUUUGUUGCGUCGCAACGGAUUCAAUGUUCCAUGUCCCUAUUGCUUCUCAAGUUGAAUCUUCUGUUCGACAUGUGAGCUUGAAUUUUAUUUAACUUAUGGCUUAAGCUUAUGAUUUUUUUACACCGUCAUACUUGUGUUUUGAAUUGAAAUGAAAGCAAAGUUAAGCUGGAAUGUUCUCUUCUUCCUCCAAUGGCCUAAUUUAAUCAAAUUGUUGAUAUGGGACAUCUUUUAUGGUGGUGAUUAAGCAAACAUUUUCACAUAGGAAUGAAUUAAAAAUUUGAUUAAUGUGUUUCAUGUAUGAUCCGGCUGAUAAUACUAUUGAUAAUGAUUAUAUGUUUUCAUUACAAAUGAUUUUUGUUUUUUAAGGAUAAUUGAUCGUAUUGAUCCCCCGACGUCAAUCUUUAGAAGCAACUAUAAUCAAUAUAGAGUAACUUACUCAACUUGAGGUUGCCACCACUUAGAAGAUAGCCUAGUAGUAAUCCACUCACUCAAUAAUAAGAAUAAGAAUAAUAAUAAAUAAAUAAAAGAGUACGGGUUUCGAGUUUUUGUAGUUGGACUUUUAGUACUUGUUUGAUAUAUAUUAUCUUAUGAUCAUAUGUAUUUAUUUAAUCUCAUAAGUUA
rnacentral:lncRNA from 1 species